UUUUUUUUUCUUCAUUUGUUCUCUUCUUUAGAAUAGAUAUGGGGUUACUUGACGUUAUUCCCUGUUUUCCACCGCUUUCACGUGUUCCAGAACCAAUACAAAUCAGAUUAGUGGCCACCGCCCCUGUUAUCCAAUCAGAUAACCUUUCUUCCCACGGCUUCCUGAUUCCUCCAUCAAAUGUUACUUUCGUCAUUUGCUUCCCGAUCCUUCCACCACCACCUCUCACUUCUUUUAUGCAUUCUCUAUCGGGAAGGCUUUGGCGGAUAGUCAGCGUAUGGUGCCCAAAUCAGAUGUAGACAAUUCCAUCUUGGGUGCUUCACUCCACUCCUAUCAUUCGACUCCACCUAAUUACCAUUUUCCUUUUCAUUUUUGGUGUAGAAGACUGAAGAGGACUUUGAAAUUGAAGGUUCUACUAUAAAUGUUGUGUUUUGGAAGGUAUGGAAUUACACUCUAGAGCGCAAACUCUCUCCUACAUUCUACUCAUCUCAUUUUUUCCAUUUGGAGCAGUAAUAAGAAGAAGAAAUCGAUGUGGUGAUUUCAAUAACCUUCUUGCUGUAUUGCUCGACGUUUCAACCAGAGGCCCUGUUAAGAAUUGGCUGAAAAUACUUCUUUUAAGACUUCACAGUUGCACAUCAUUCAACCCUGUUCUCAGAACCAGUACUUUAAUCUUAUUACUUUUAAGUACUAUUUAAGCAAAUAGUGCGUAGUCGGGAAGUUUUUUUCUAUCCUUUUUUCCUUUGUUUUAAUUAUAUUUUAUCAUAUUGUGUCAAUUCUUUGAGUUUAUAAACUAUUAAUACAAUUUUCAAUCACCACCUA